GAUGAACGCUGGCGGCGUGCCUAAUACAUGCAAGUCGAGCGAACGGACGAGAAGCUUGCUUCUCUGAUGUUAGCGGCGGACGGGUGAGUAACACGUGGAUAACCUACCUAUAAGACUGGGAUAACUUCGGGAAACCGGAGCUAAUACCGGAUGAUAUUUUGAACCGCAUGGUUCAAAAGUGAAAGACGGUCUUGCUGUCACUUAUAGAUGGAUCCGCGCUGCAUUAGCUAGUUGGUAAGGUAACGGCUUACCAAGGCAACGAUGCAUAGCCGACCUGAGAGGGUGAUCGGCCACACGGGAACUGAGACACGGUCCAGACUCCUACGGGAGGCAGCAGUAGGGAAUCUUACGCAAUGGGCGAAAGCCUGACGGAGCAACGCCGCGUGAGUGAUGAAGGUCUUCGGAUCGUAAAACUCUGUUAUUAGGGAAGAACAUAUGUGUAAGUAACUGUGCACAUCUUGACGGUACCUAAUCAGAAAGCCACGGCUAACUACGUG
rnacentral:rRNA from 1 species